rnacentral:rRNA from 1 species
UACAGAGGUCUCAAGCGUUGUUCGGAUUCAUUGGGCGUAAAGGGUGCGUAGGUGGCGCGCUAAGUCAGGUGUGAAAUCUCGGGGCUUAACUCCGAAACUGCAUUUGAUACUGGUGUGCUUGAGGACUGGAGAGGAGACUGGAAUUCAUGGUGUAGCAGUGAAAUGCGUAGAGAUCAUGAGGAAGACCAGUGGCGAAGGCGGGUCUCUGGACAGUUCCUGACACUGAGGCACGAAGGCCAGGGGAGCAAACGGG